rnacentral:sRNA from 1 species
GAACUAUCAUGUAUUCUAUUACCUCCUGGCAGGAGCAAGUGAAGAUGAGAGAUCAGCAUUCCAUCUUAAGCAACCAGAGGAAUAUCAUUAUCUCAAUCAGGAUUGCUUCACGGUGGAAGGGGAAGAUUUGAGACAUGACUUUGAGCGCCUACAACUUGCCAUGGAAAUGGUAGGAUUUCUUCCCAAGACACGAAGACAGAUUUUCUCUCUUCUCUCAGCCAUACUACAUUUGGGUAAUAUCUGUUACAAAAAGAAGACAUACCGGGAUGACUCCAUUGAUAUCUGUAAUCCUGAAGUUCUGCCUAUUGUCUCAGAAUUAUUAGAGGUUAAAGAAGAGAUGCUAUUUGAAGCAUUAGUUACAAGGAAGACGGUGACAGUGGGAGAAAAGCUUAUUCUGCCAUACAAGUUGGCAGAGGCUGUGACAGUGAGGAACUCCAUGGCUAAGUCUCUAUAUAGUGCCCUGUUUGACUGGAUAGUUUUUCGAAUUAAUCAUGCACUUCUGAAUAGUAAAGAUUUAGAGCAUAAUACCAAGACAUUGUCUAUUGGAGUUCUUGAUAUUUUUGGGUUUGAAGAUUAUGAAAAUAACAGCUUUGAACAGUUCUGUAUUAAUUUUGCUAAUGAACGUUUACAGCACUACUUUAAUCAGCAUAUCUUUAAAUUGGAACAAGAGGAAUAUAGAACUGAAGGUAUCAGCUGGCACAACAUAGAUUACAUUGAUAAUACCUGCUGCAUAAAUCUUAUUAGCAAAAAACCAACAGGACUGCUUCAUCUUUUGGAUGAAGAAAGCAACUUUCCACAGGCUACAAAUCAAACAUUGCUAGACAAGUUUAAGCAUCAACAUGAAGAUAAUUCUUACAUCGAAUUUCCAGCCGUGAUGGAGCCUGCUUUCAUUAUAAAACAUUAUGCUGGAAAAGUAAAAUAUGGGGUAAAGGAUUUCCGGGAAAAAAAUACAGAUCAUAUGCGCCCAGACAUUGUAGCUCUUCUGAGAAGCAGCAAGAAUGCAUUUAUUUCUGGGAUGAUUGGAAUUGAUCCUGUAGCUGUUUUCCGAUGGGCAAUUCUCCGAGCUUUUUUCAGAGCCAUGGUUGCUUUCAGGGAAGCUGGGAAAAGAAACAUUCACAGAAAAACUGGACAUGAUGAUACAGCGCCAUGUGCAAUUUUGAAAAGUAUGGAUAGUUUUAGCUUUCUCCAACACCCAGUCCACCAGAGGAGCUUAGAGAUUCUGCAGAGAUGCAAGGAAGAGAAGUACAGUAUAACCCGGAAAAAUCCCAGAACACCUCUUUCUGAUCUCCAGGGCAUGAAUGCUCUAAAUGAAAAAAACCAACAUGAUACAUUUGAUAUUGCCUGGAAUGGCAGAACUGGGAUUCGCCAGAGCAGACUAUCAAGUGGCACCUCCUUGCUUGAUAAAGAUGGAAUAUUUGCUAAUUCAACUAGCAGCAAACUCCUGGAGAGAGCCCAUGGAAUUCUCACGAGAAACAAAAAUUUCAAAUCCAAGCCUGCCCUUCCAAAGCACUUGCUAGAAGUAAAUUCUUUAAAGCACCUGACAAGACUGACACUACAAGAUCGCAUUACCAAGUCUCUUCUUCAUUUACACAAGAAGAAAAAACCUCCCAGCAUCAGUGCCCAGUUUCAGGCAUCAUUAAGCAAGCUAAUGGAAACACUUGGUCAAGCAGAACCAUAUUUUGUAAAAUGCAUUCGCUCUAAUGCUGAAAAGCUGCCCUUAAGGUUCAAUGAUGUCUUGGUACUUAGACAGCUUCGAUACACCGGGAUGCUGGAAACAGUUCGAAUUCGCCAAUCAGGAUACAGCUCCAAAUAUUCUUUCCAGGAUUUUGUGAGCCACUUCCAUGUACUUCUUCCCCGAAAUAUUAUUCCAUCCAAAUUUAACAUUCAGGAUUUCUUCAGGAAAAUAAAUCUUAAUCCAGAUAAUUAUCAAGUUGGAAAAACCAUGGUCUUUCUAAAGGAGCAGGAACGACAGCACUUACAAGAUCUGCUUCACCAAGAGGUGCUCCGCAGAAUCAUAUUGUUGCAGCGAUGGUUCAGGGUCUUGCUGUGUAGGCAGCAUUUCCUCCAUCUGAGACAAGCAUCUGUUAUUAUCCAGAGAUUCUGGAGGAAUUACCUAAAUCAGAAGCAAGUCAGAGAUGCAGCUGUGCAGAAGGAUGCUUUUGUUAUGGCUAGUGCGGCUGCUCUUCUCCAAGCUUCCUGGCGUGCUCACUUAGAGAGGCAGCGGUACUUGGAGUUACGGGCUGCAGCCAUCGUUAUCCAGCAGAAAUGGAGAGAUUACUAUAGGCGCAGGCACAUGGCUGCUAUUUGCAUACAAGCAAGAUGGAAAGCCUACAGGGAAAGUAAAAGGUACCAAGAACAAAGGAAAAAAAUUAUCCUUUUGCAAUCAACAUGUAGAGGAUUCAGAGCAAGACAAAGAUUUAAAGCUUUAAAAGAACAAAGGCUAAGAGAAACAAAACCAGAAGUUGGAUUGGUGAAUAUUAAGGGAUAUGGAUCUCUGGAAAUUCAGGGUUCAGACCCUUCAGAAUGGGAGGAUUGUUCUUUUGACAACAGAAUAAAAGCCAUAGAGGAAUGUAAAUCUGUAAUAGAGAGUAAUCGAAUUAGCCGUGAAAGUUCAGUGGACUGCUUGAAGGAGUCACCAAACAAGCAGCAGGAGAGAGCCCAAAGCCAGAGUGGUGUGGACUUGCAGGAAGAUGUGCUUGUAAGAGAGAGACCCAGAUCCUUGGAGGAUCUCCAUCAGAAAAAAGUAGGCCGGGCUAAGAGAGAAAGUAGGAGAAUGAGAGAACUAGAGCAAGCUAUAUUUAGCUUAGAAUUGCUGAAAGUUCGUUCUCUUGGUGGUAUUUCUCCUUCAGAGGAUCGCAGAUGGUCUACAGAAUUGGUGCCUGAAGGCCUUCAAUCUCCACGAGGUACACCUGAUAGUGAGAGCUCUCAAGGAAGCUUGGAACUUCUGAGCUAUGAGGAAAGCCAAAAGAGCAAACUAGAGUCUGUCAUUUCAGAUGAAGGAGACUUGCAGUUUCCAUCACCUAAGAUAUCCAGCAGUCCAAAAUUUGAUUCACGGGACAAUGCCCUCAGUGCCUCAAAUGAGACUAGCAAUGCAGAGCAUUUGAAGGAUGGAACUAUGAAGGAAAAGGUGGUCUGCAGUUCUGAGUCUAUUACCUGUAAACCACAGCUGAAAGACUCCUUCAUUUCAAAUAGUCUACCUACUUUUUUUUAUAUCCCCCAACAAGACCCACUGAAAACAAAUUCCCAACUAGACACAAGUAUCCAAAGAAACAAACUAUUGGAAAAUGAAGACACAGCGGGGGAAGCUCUUACUUUGGAUAUCAACAGGGAAACUAGAAGGUAUCACUGCUCAGGAAAAGAUCAGAUUGUUCCUUCUUUGAAUACAGGGUCUUCUAAUCCUGUGCUUAAGAAGUUAGAAAAGCUAAACACUGAGAAGGAAGAAAGGCAAAAACAGUUGCAGCAACAGAAUGAAAAAGAGAUGAUGGAACAGAUUCGCCAGCAAACAGAUAUUUUAGAGAAGGAGCGCAAAGCCUUCAAGACAAUUGAAAAGCCAAGAAUUGGAGAGUGUUUGGUGGCACCAUCUUCCUAUCAGUCAAAGCAAAGAGUAGAGAGGCCAUCUUCUCUCCUCAGCUUAAAUACCUCAAAUAAGGGAGAACUUAAUGUACUGGGGUCCCUAUCAUUAAAAGAUGCAGCUCUUGCCCAAAAUGACAGUUCAUCUGCUCACUUACCCCCAAAGGACCGACCUGUCACCGUGUUCUUUGAAAGAAAAGGAAGUCCAUGCCAAUCUAGUACUGUCAAGGAAUUAUCCAAGACAGACAGAAUGGGCACCCAGCUGAAUGUAGCCUGUAAACUCUCAAAUAAUCACAUUUCAAAAAGAGAACACUUUAGGCCAACUCAAUCUUACAGCCACAAUUCUGAUGACCUUUCCAGAGAGGGAAAUGCUAGGCCCAUUUUCUUCACUCCAAAGGACAAUAUGAGUAUUCCCCUUGUCAGCAAAGAAGCCGUAAACAGUGAAAAUCCUCAACUCCGUAAAGAAGAUGAACCAGCAUGGAAACCUGUGAAGUUAGCUGGGCCAGGCCAAAGAGAGGUUGCCAGACCGGCCCAUAAAAAGAAAGCUCGAAUGGCGCGGACGCGCUCCGAUUUCUUGACUAGAGGUACUUUUGCCGAUGGGGAGGGGGAUACAGAGGAAGAUGAUUACGAUGACAUUAUUGAGCCCCUUCUCUCCCUUGACCAAGCUUCUCACUGUGAGCUAGGGCCUGCACCCAGCCUGGGUCAGGCCUCUCACAGUGACUCCGAAAUGGUAAUUUUACAGCAAUAUAAGAAAAAUAGCAAGCAAAUCUGAUGGAAAUAGUCUUUGCUAAUCUAAAGCUAACCUUCACAGCUUCUUCCCAUGUAAUGGUUUGUGCAUGGGAAACCUCAGUGAACACAGCAACUAAGCUAAACCUUAAUUUAAUAGAACUCAAAGGGCACUUUAAAAAGCCACAAAUUAGGCAAAAUUAAGAUUAUUUGACUUGGCACUAAUGUAGAAAUUUUCCAUGUUGUAUCCUAAAAGGUCUAGAGCAGUGGUCCUUACAUUUUUUCUGUAAACGGCCAGAUAACAAAUAUUUUAGACUUUGUGGGUCAUAUAGUCUCUAUUGCAACUACCUAACUUAACUACUUAACUCACCCACUGUAGUGUGAAAGCAGCCAUAGACACUAAGUAAACAAAUGGGCAUGACCGUCUUGUAAUAAAACUGCAAAAACAGACAGUGGAUUGUAUUUGACCUGUUGGCCAUAGUUUACUGAUCCGUGGUUUAGUUUACUGAUCCUUGGUCUAAAAUAAUCCAGUAGCUUUUAGCUACAAUGCACUUUUACAUUUUUUGCCUGUAAACUUUCUUCCUCCACCUCACUUUCCACUAAUAAGAAAUAAACAUGAAUUUUAAAACAUAUAGUGAGCAAAAAGUGUCUUCCUGGACCAACCCAGCCAAAUAGAAGGCUAUAUGUAAUGUGAAUUUGUAUUAAUCACACAAUAUAACAUUGGUGUUGUGUUUGAAUAAAGCUGCACCAUUUUAAGCUAAGAAUAUAACUAUAUCAUCUUCUCAGCCCAAAUCAGGUGUAUAUGUGGUUUGACAAGUAUUAUAGUAUAUUGAUGGGUAUAUUAAUGCAAAGAAUUUUAUUUUGGAAUUGUCCUAGAAAUAUAUAAGAUAAGGACCGUAUGUCUAAUAUGAACCAGAACAUCACUGAUGAAGUAGAGUGAAAUAACAUUUUAUUUCCAUACAUAUCUGUAACUGAGCUCUCUAAUAUUCUUUAGUGUCUGUCAAUUAUCAGAGAAAAAUUUUAGAAUGGUCUUUAUUUGACUCAUUAAAUAUUCUAUCUUUGAACUGUUUUAAGCUGUUUGAAUUGUCAAAGAUCUAAUUAAUUGAAAUUUCUCCUAUUGUCCAGAAUACUCUCGUUGUCUUUUAUCUUUUGUUGGAGGUAGACCCAGUUUUUAAGUGACAAAAGUGAUGUUUUAUGAAGGCAAAAACAACAACAACAAAAAGAGAAAAAUGCAAAACAAGUCCCCUGAUUAGAUAAAUGAGUCAUUAACCUGAGCCGAACUGUAGGAUUAUAGAAAUUGGAAACAUUCUGUGUAUCUGAUAAUAUGUAUAAUUAGAGCCAAAAUCUUCAGUGUAGAAUAAAAUAAUAGCAUUUUGGAGGUGCCCUGUAUUUGAGUUAUAAAUAAGGAAAUAUACUGUGUUAUCUGAUUAACAGUUAAAUACGAAAUUAUGUAAUGGAACAAACUAAUUUUAAUGAAAAGUCCUGCUUUGUCUAGUAUACAUAGAUUUAUUGUUAGCAGAAAAACUUUGGCAUUAUGACUGCUGUUUUGUUCCUGAGAGUUUCCUUUGUAACAACCCUUAGUCCUUUUGGUGAUAGACUUCUUUUACACUGGGAACUUUUACUGAGAUGAACCAGGAAGUUGGGCUUUCUGCUUGGAGCAUUCAGCUCCUUUCAGUGUUCUAGCCUCUGUUCACCUGCUUGACGGUCACUGCAUGCCAGUAGUUGUAGAGCACUUCCCUGCACAGUGUGUUAGUCACGUCGCCAGCUUUCUCAUUUCCUUCUCUUUCACCACGAGCUAUUUUAGGAACAGGUGGUGGUGCUUGUUUCUGGUGGACACUGCAUGAAGAAGCUUUGCUUUGUAGAAUAUGUGGAUAGUUACUUACCAGGGUUGGGGAUGGGGUGGGUAGGAACAAUUUUUAAAUGUGUUUCUCUUUUUAUUUAUCUUGAGAAUAUUCCACGUUCUAACAUUAUCUGAUAUUGUGAAGAUGAAGAUGUAUUGUGUCUAAAUAAAAUCUACUACAAUCUCACAAUAUUUUCUGGAUUUUAAAUGUAUUUGAUUUUCUAGGUACAUGGAGUUUUAAAAGCUGGAUUUUUUUUUUCUGGACAAACUGAUUUUAUUACUCUGAAGUGUGUCAUUAAAUCUUGGAAGAAAUUGCUGUAUGACCUUUCUAAUUGUGAAGUAACUCAAUCUAAUGGGAUAAAGACAUUCACAAAUGAAUUGAAGGAGAUUUGAGUUUUUAAAUUAUUAAUCAGUUGUUACCUGCUGUGGGAGGGGAAACAAGUGUAGUAGUUUCCCUCCUUAGUGACUUUGGUGUUUUUUAACCUCUUACUUCAAACGCUGCCGUUUGAAUAACUGUUUAGUCUCUGUGUGCUGCUCUCACUCCAUUUUUAUACACACCACAUUGGCAUUUACUCAAGAAGAAUGGCGUUUUCUGCUAAGCAGUUGUUUUUAAGAUAGUUUUUUUUUAGUUUCUGUCUUCUGAAUGGUAAGCGGGUUAGUAAAAUCAUUUCUAUUCCUUAUUUAUAGGAUUAGUAUAGGAAACAUUAUACUUUUCUCUGUACAGUUUUCUUUUAUCAUCCCCCAGAUUUAAAGCAGUCAUCUCUAUGGAUAUGACUUCUGAAUGGCUCUCCAGAAUUUCAAUCUUCAUUACUUCUAGCAUAGUAAAACUAAAUUUCUCAUUAUUCCCCCCAAACUGCUGUCACUUCUUAUAUUCCUGUUUCUGCUAUUCUCUGAGAUACUCUCUGAUCCUUGUCUGUGUUGAAUUUUCUUUCUCUCUGAUGUCUACUCCAUAGACUGCCAGAAAAACCUGUUGAUCAAACAAAGCUGUUUAUUAGCUUAUUACAGUAAGAGAAAACCCACUUUGACUGUGUCUUAGUAAUAUCUCACAAGGGAGAAGUCAGGAGAGGAUAUUCAUAAAGUUUUAGGACCUGGGCUAGGUGAUUUUGAGGUUGGUCUUGCGUGGUAGAAAACUGGUUGUUAUUGAACAAAGUUCAUUACUUAAGAGUUUUGGAUUGGCAGCCUUAAGACAGCAGCCACACUGUUGACUAUACACUUAGUAUUUAUAUGUGUAUUUUAUUUCUCUAAAAAAAGUCAGGACCAGUUUAUAGCAUUGCAGCUAUCUGUUCUUUGAGGAUUUGGCAGAGUUUUUCUAUGAAACCACCUGGGAUUGGUACUUUUUUGUGGUGUAGUUCCUGGAUAAGUUUUUCUUUUUUUCUUCUAGGGAAAUCAGUCUUUUUAAAACCUUUUAUCUAACAGGGUCAAUUUUGGUAAACCCUUUUUUCUUAUAAAAUUAUCAAUUUCAUCUAACUUUUCAAUUUAUUUGCACAGAGGUCUGGAAAGUAAGAUCUGGGCACAGAGCCAUGUGCCUGUAGUCCCAGCUACUCAGAAGGCUGAGGCAGGAGGAUAACUGGGGCCCAGGAGUGCAAGGCUGCAGUGAGCUGUGAUUGUACCACUGCACUCCAGCCUGAGCAACAGAGCAAGACCAUGUCUCUU